rnacentral:lncRNA from 1 species
AUAUAUGUUAUUUGGAAAAUUUUAAAAAGGAAACUAAGUAAAAAAUUCAAUAAUAGUAUUUAAAUGUAAUAUUUUUAAUUCAUUAAGGUUAUCAGUGUAAUCAACCAUCGUGAGACUUAACGUAAGCGCGCGAUACAUAAGAAACUGACUUGUCAAAUAAUAUUAUAGAGAUAAAUUGGGUAUUAAUUGUUAAUAUUCUAUGUAAAAUGAAACAAUCACAAACCUUAAUUUUAUUGGAUCAAUGAUUUAAGACGAUUUCUUUUUUUUUUUCAAACCCCCUCU